UCAGGUAGGGAUACCCG
rnacentral:rRNA from 3 species